UACGUAGGGCGCAAGCGUUAUCCGGAAUUACUGGGCGUAAAGCGUGCGCAGGCGGUUUUGUAAGUCUGUCGUGAAAGCCCCGGGCUCAACCUGGGAAUUGCGAUGGAGACUGCAAGGCUUGAAUCUGGCAGAGGGGGGUAGAAUUCCACGUGUAGCAGUGAAAUGCGUAGAGAUGUGGAGGAACACCGAUGGCGAAGGCAGCCCCCUGGGUCAAGAUUGACGCUCAUGCACGAAAGCGUGGGGAGCAAACAGG
rnacentral:rRNA from 1 species